rnacentral:misc_RNA from 1 species
GAUGAAGAACGCAGCGAAAUGCGAUAAGUAAUGUGAAUUGCAGAAUUCAGUGAAUCAUCGAAUCUUUGAACGCACAUUGCGCCCGCCAGUAUUCUGGCGGGCAUGCCUGUUCGAGCGUCAUUUCAACCAUCAAGCCCCCGGCUUGUGUUGGGGACCUGCGGCUGCCGCAGGCCCUGAAAAGCAGUGGCGGGCUCGCUGUCACACCGAGCGUAGUAGCAUACAUCUCGCUCUGGGCGUGCUGCGGGUUCCGGCCGUUAAACCACCUUCAUAACCCAAGGUUGACCUCGGAUCAGGUAGGAAGACCCGCUGAACUUAAGCAUAUCAAUAACGGAGGA